UAAGAAAACCUCACACAACGGUAGCUCUAACGUGUCAGACAUGUCAAGUCUAGCACGGAGGAAGCGUGCCAAAGCAGAGGCCGCUAAAUCAAAAAUAGCCUUUGUUGAACAACAUUCACUUAUCCUACAACAAGAGGCAAUGUUAGAGGAACAAGCCCUGUUCAGACAAUCUGAAAUGGAACAGGAAGCAGCACGCAAAAAGGCUGAAAUGGAACAAGAAGCAGCACACAAAAAGUCUGAGAUGGA
rnacentral:lncRNA from 1 species